rnacentral:rRNA from 1 species
AGUGAACGCUGGCGGCGUGCCUAAUACAUGCAAGUCGAACGAAGUGGCGCACGGGUGGGUGAUAUAUAGUUAAUCUGCCCUACAAAAAGGGACAACAGUUGGAAACGACUGCUAAUACCUCAUAGUGUAGGAUGAGACUAUAUCGUAUCAGCUAGUUGUUAAUGUAAUGGCUUACCAAGGCGAUGACGCGUAACUGGUCGGAGAGGAUGAUCAGCCACAUUGGACCGGAGACACGGGUCAGAAUCCUACGGGAGGGAGCAGUAAGGAAUAUUGCGCAAUGGGGGAAACCCUGACGCAGCUACGCGGCGUGGAGUAUGACACUCUGCGGAGAGGAAACUCCGUUUAUCAGGAAAGCGGUACCUGAUGAAUAAGCACCGGCUAACUCCGUGCCAGCCGCCGCGGUAAUUC